rnacentral:rRNA from 1 species
GAUGAACGCUGGCGGCGUGCCUAAUACAUGCAAGUCGAGCGAACGGACGAGAAGCUUGCUUCUCUGAUGUUAGCGGCGGACGGGUGAGUAACACGUGGAUAACCUACCUAUAAGACUGGGAUAACUUCGGGAAACCGGAGCUAAUACCGGAUAAUAUUUUGAACCGCAUGGUUCAAAAGUAAAAGACGGUCUUGCUGUCACUUAUAGAUGGAUCCGCGCUGCAUUAGCUAGUUGGUAAGAUAACGGCUUACCAAGGCAACGAUGCAUAGCCGACCUGAGAGGGUGAUCGGCCACACUGGAACUGAGACACGGUCCAGACUCCUACGGGAGGCAGCAGUAGGGAAUCUUCCGCAAUGGGCGAAAGCCUGACGGAGCAACGCCGCGUGAGUGAUGAAGGUCUUCGGAUCGUAAAACUCUGUUAUUAGGGAAGAACAUAUGUGUAAGUAACUGUGCACAUCUUGACGGUACCUAAUCAGAAAGCCACGGCUAACUACGUG